UUACCACUCUGGCCUAAUGGCUUAGAUCAAGUGUAGUAUCUGUUCUUAAUAGUUUAACCACUAUUAUGAGGGCACCGCUCUCAUUCUCUGGUUAUCAAAUUUUUGUCGCCUUUACUCUCUUCGAGCUCUGCUCGCAACUCGAAGGGCGCGAUGACCUUGCUAUUGCACUGUUGGCUUGUGUUGUCAGGGGUAC
rnacentral:snRNA from 1 species